rnacentral:tRNA from 1 species
AAAAAAUUAGUUAAUAAUAAUAUUAUAAUGUCAUUAUAAAGUAACCCUAAAAGUAUUUUUUA